UCCGGGUUAGCUCAGUUGGUAGAGCGCUCCACCUGUAAUGGAGAGGUCCCGGGUUCGAUACCCGGACCAGGCG
rnacentral:tRNA from 1 species